rnacentral:rRNA from 1 species
CGGACGGCUGAGUAAUGCACAGGAACGUACCUCGCAGUGGGGAAUAGCCCUUCGAAAGAAGGGGUAAUACCGCAUAGUCUCGCAAGAGUAAAGCCGCAAGGCGCUGUGAGAACGGCCUGUGUCCUAUCAGGUAGUUGGUGAGGUAAUGGCUCACCAAGCCUAUGACGGGUAGCUGGUCUGAGAGGAUGACCAGCCAGAUCGGGACUGAGACACGGCCCGA